CGUCCACGGGAGGCAGCAGUGGGGAAUAUUGCACAAUGGGGGAAACCCUGAUGCAGCGACGCCGCGUGAGUGAAGAAGUAAUUCGUUAUGUAAAGCUCUGUCAGCAGGGAAGAAAGAAAUGACGGUACCUGACCAAGAAGCCCCGGCUAACUACGUGCCAGCAGCCGCGGUAAUACGUAGGGGGCAAGCGUUAUCCGGAAUUACUGGGUGUAAAGGGAGCGUAGACGGUUAAGUAAGUCUGGAGUGAAAGGCCGGGGCCCAACCCCGGGACUGCUCUGGAAACUAUUGAACUUGAGUGCAGGAGG
rnacentral:rRNA from 1 species